CAUGUUCCUAGAAUUAAUGGAGAAAUUCCUUCAAUUGAUGAAGUAACUUCAGAUCAUCAGAGGCUUAUGGACAGAUUGCAGAUGUACGACUUUGUAGAGCACAAGGUUCAAGGAGAUGGUAAUUGUCAGUUUCGUGCUUUAUCAGAUCAAUUAUAUAGCACACCUGACAAUCACCAAUUUGUUAGGCAACAAGUUGUGAAUCAGCUAAGGUCUCAUCCAGAGAUUUAUGGGGGAUAUGUUCCCAUGGAAUAUGGUGAUUAUUCAGAGAAGAUG